AUGCAUGGCCGAUUCCUGAUAUUGGUCUGGGCCUGCUGUCUACCGCUGAUGCUUACGGUCACAGCGGCUGAGGAGCAUCAAGGGGAAGGCUGCUCCGCCAAGUGCGGCAAAAUCACCGUCUCCGCUCCGUUCUGGCUCACUGAUUUGCAGACGGGAAAAUCAUGUGGUUCGCCUGGACCGCCGGACUUCGAGGUUACAUGCUAUAACAGCAGUUAUCCACUCCUUCCGAGCUCUGUGCCCAACGGCUACGGCUUUGCAAUCAUCAACAUCUCCUACGAGGAGCGCAGCAUGCGCCUUGUUGAUGUAGGCAAGAUGGAACUGUUUCGCGACAUCUUCAAUAAGUGCCUGCCUUUCUGGAACACCUCCGUCAAACUGGGCCGCCCGUUUCGGAUCGACCCCAUCAACCUGUACCUCAUCUUUUACAACUGCACAGAGGAAGCCGCAAUGGCGGCUGCGGCGCGUCGGGACAGAGAGCUCCUGCAGACGACGACGAUGAGGUGCAUGAACACGGGCAACGCGUUUUUCCGUGCAGGAGUGCGCUAUGACGCGACUGGAAACUAUGCCGGCUAUGCUUUGGAGGGAUGUGAUGCUAUCGUCGUGCCGAUGGUGGGCUCGCCAUCGUCGUCGGGCCAGGCGGCGAGCGACUAUGAGCAGCUCAUCAAGCAUGGCUUCCUUUCGACGUGGGAUGAACCUCUCUUCCCUUUCCCUGCACGUAGCAAGAGGACUGGCAUGAAGAUUAUACUAAUAGUUUUGACAGCAACAGCUGCAACCUUGCUCUUUCUAUGUAUUUAUGUGUUGAUAUGGCAUAGAAAGGGUAAAAUACUAUGGUUUCUCCUUUGCAAAAAUACUAGCAGCAUCACUGAAAGGAAUUACGAAGCCAUGAUAGCAACCUAUGGAUCCCUAGCUCCCAAAAGAUACCUGUACUCAGAGGUAAUGAAGAUAACAUCUUACCGUAGCGAUCAGCUCGGAAAAGGUGGUUACGGUGUGGUUUUCAAAGGAAGACUACAUGAUGGUCUUCUGGUUGCUGUGAAAUUUUUGCAUGAAUGCAAAGGAAAUGGGGACGAGUUUGUUAAUGAGGUUAUGAGCAUUGGUAGGACCUCUCAUGUUAAUGUUGUCAGCCUAUUUGGGUUUUGUUUGGAGGGAUCAAAACGAGCACUUAUAUACGAGUACAUGUCCAACGGUUCCUUGGAUAAGUUCAUUUACUCGGAGAACCCCAAAGAAAUUUUAGGAUGGCAGAGGCUCUAUGCUAUAGCACUUGGGAUUGCUCGUGGCCUAGAAUACUUGCACCAUAGUUGUAAUACACGGAUUAUUCAUUUCGAUAUCAAGCCUCAAAAUAUACUUCUAGACAAGGAUUUUAGCCCAAAGAUUGCUGAUUUCAGACUGGCUAAAUUGUGUCAUGCAAAGGAGAGCAAGCUUUCAAUGACUGGUGCUAGAGGAACAAUUGGGUUCAUCGCUCCAGAAGUUCACUCUCGAACCUUCGGAGUGGUUUCGACAAAAUCAGAUGUUUAUAGUUAUGGAAUGAUGCUUUUAGAGAUGGUUGGAGGCAGAAGAAAUGUAAAAUCUAUUGUUGAAAAUUCCAGCGAAAAGUAUUUUCCAGAUUGGAUUUAUGACCACUUUGCGCAUGAUGAUGGAUUACAAGCAUGUGAAGUGACAGGAGAAAUGGAGGAAAUCGCAAGAAAGAUGACGUUAAUUGGCUUGUGGUGCAUACAAAUAUUGCCUGCAUAUCGCCCUACUAUAACCAAAGUUCUAGAAAUGUUCGAGAGAAGCUCUGAUGACAUGGACAUGCCACCGAAGCAAAACUUCUCUGGAUUGAUUGAAAAUUCAGCUCACAACAUGAAUGUAGAAAGUGCCAGCUCUACAAGAUCUGAGAGACAAGACUUGUAA
rnacentral:rRNA from 1 species